AGAGUUUGAUCAUGGCUCAGAACGAACGCUGGCGGCGUGCCUAACACAUGCAAGUCGAGCGCGAAUGGAGCAAUCCUAGUAGAGCGGCGCACGGGUGCGUAACACGUGGAUAAUCUGCCUGGGUGUCUGGGAUAACCAGUCGAAAGAUUGGCUAAUACCGGAUAAGCCCCCGGGAGCUUCGGCUCCUGAGGGAAAAGGUGGCCUCUGUAUACAAGCUAUCACAUCCAGAUGAGUCCGCGGCCCAUCAGCUAGUUGGCGGGGUAAUGGCCCACCAAGGCAACGACGGGUAGCUGGUCUGAGAGGACGAUCAGCCACACUGGAACUGAGACACGGUCCAGACUCCUACGGGAGGCAGCAGUGGGGAAUUUUGCGCAAUGGGCGAAAGCCUGACGCAGCAACGCCGCGUGUGUGAUGAAGGUCUUCGGAUUGUAAAGCACUUUCGACCGGGACGAAAACCCUGAGGCUAACAUCCUCAGGCUUGACGGUACCGGGAGAAGAAGCACCGGCUAACUCUGUGCCAGCAGCCGCGGUAAUACAGAGGGUGCAAGCGUUGUUCGGAAUUAUUGGGCGUAAAGCGCGUGUAGGCGGCUUUGCAAGUCGGGUGUGAAAGCCCUCAGCUCAACUGAGGAAGUGCGCCCGAAACUGCAGAGCUUGAGUGCCGGAGAGGGUGGCGGAAUUCCCCAAGUAGAGGUGAAAUUCGUAGAUAUGGGGAGGAACACCGGUGGCGAAGGCGGCCACCUGGACGGUAACUGACGCUGAGACGCGAAAGCGUGGGGAGCAAACAGGAUUAGAUACCCCCGUAGUCC
rnacentral:rRNA from 1 species